rnacentral:rRNA from 1 species
AGCAGUCGCCGCGGUAAUACGAAGGGUGCAAGCGUUAAUCGGAAUUACUGGGCGUAAAGCGUGCGUAGGCGGUUUGUUAAGUCUGUUGUGAAAUCCCCGGGCUCAACCUGGGAAUGGCAAUGGAUACUGGCAAGCUAGAGUGUGUCAGAGGAUGGUGGAAUUCCCGGUGUAGCGGUGAAAUGCGUAGAGAUCGGGAGGAACAUCAGUGGCGAAGGCGGCCAUCUGGGACAACACUGACGCUGAGGCACGAAAGCGUGGGGAGCAAACAGGAUUAGAUACCCCGGUAGUCCCUGUCUCUUAUAA